AAAGUCGUAACAAGGUUUCCGUAGGUGAACCUGCGGAAGGAUCAUCACUGCUUUUGAUGUGUCUACCCUUUGUGCACUGUCUCGCGCAUUAUGUGCGCGUUUUUAUUUACACGCUUUUGAAUGCAUCUGCGACUAUAAACACACACACAACUUUUAACAACGGAUCUCUUGGUUCUC
rnacentral:misc_RNA from 1 species